UUGCUUCUAGUUUAAUUAAUAGAAUGUUGGUUUGUCGGGCCAGUGGUAUGAUUUUUUGAAGCAAG
rnacentral:tRNA from 1 species